rnacentral:rRNA from 1 species
GACGAACGCUGGCGGCGUGCCUAAUACAUGCAAGUAGAACGCUGAAGGAGGAGCUUGCUUCUCUGGAUGAGUUGCGAACGGGUGAGUAACGCGUAGGUAACCUGCCUGGUAGCGGGGGAUAACUAUUGGAAACGAUAGCUAAUACCGCAUAAUAGUAGAGGUUGCAGGACAUUUGCUUAAACGGUGCAAUUGCAUCACUACCAGAUGGACCUGCGUUGUAUUAGCUAGUUGGUGGGGUAACGGCUCACCAAGGCGACGAUACAUAGCCGACCUGAGAGGGUGAUCGGCCACACUGGGACGGGGACACGGCCCAUACUCCUGCGGGAGGCAGCAGUAGGGAAUCUUCGGCAAUGGACGGAAGUCUGACCGAGCAACGCCGCGUGAGUGAAGAAGGUUUUCGGAUCGUAAAGCUCUGUUGUAAGAGAAGAACGAGUGUGAGAGUGGAAAGUUCACACUGUGACGGUAUCUUACCAGAAAGGGACGGCUAACUACGUG